GAGAUCUGGCAAAAGGUUCGGGACAACAGUUGGAAACGACUGCUAAUACCGGAUGUGCCUGUGGGUGAAAGAUUAAUCGCCUUUUGAUGAGCUCGCGUCUGAUUAGCUAGUUGGUGUGGUAAGAGCGCACCAAGGCGACGAUCAGUAGCUGGUCUGAGAGGAUGACCAGUCACACUGGGACUGAGACACGGCCCAGACUCCUACGGGAGGCAGCAGUGGGGAAUUUUCCGCAAUGGGCGAAAGCCUGACGGAGCAAUACCGCGUGAGGGAGGAAGGCUCUUGGGUUGUAAACCUCUUUUCUCAGGGAAUAAGAAAGUGAAGGUACCUGAGGAAUCAGCAUCGGCUAACUCCGUGCCAGCAGCCGCGGUAAUACGGAGGAUGCUAAGCGUUAUCCCGGAAAUGCAUUGGGCCGUCAAAGCAGUCCAGCUAAGGGUGUGCUUUGACCGUCAGAGAAAAGUU
rnacentral:rRNA from 1 species